rnacentral:rRNA from 1 species
GACGAACGCUGGCGGCGUGCCUAAUACAUGCAAGUAGGACGCAGUUGCGAACGGGUGAGUAACGCGUAGGUAACUGCCUAUUAGAGGGGGAUAACUAUUGGAAACGAUAGCUAAUACCGCAUACUAGUAGAUGGAACUGCGUUGUAUUAGCUAGUAGGUGGGGUAAUGGCCUACCUAGGCGACGAUACAUACCCGACCUGGGGUGGUGAUCGGGAACACUUGGAGUUAGACACGGCCCAGACUCCUACGGGAGGCAGCAGGAGGGAAUCUUCGGCAAUGGGGGGAACCCUGACCGCGCAACGCCGCGGGAGUGAAGAAGGUUUUCGGAUCGUAAAGCUCUGUUGUUAAGGAAGCGGUACUUAACCAGAAAGGGACGGCUAACUACGUGCCAGCAGCCGCGGUAAUAC